UGCCAGCCGCCGCGGUAAUACGGAGGGUGCAAGCGUUAAUCGGAAUUACUGGGCGUAAAGCGAGUGUAGGCGGCUACGUAAGUCGGAUGUGAAAGCCCCGGGCUUAACCUGGGAAUUGCAUUCGAUACUGCGUGGCUAGAGUCUGAUAGAGGGAAGUGGAAUUCCAGGUGUAGCGGUGAAAUGCGUAGAUAUCUGGAGGAACAUCAGUGGCGAAGGCGGCUUCCUGGAUCAAGACUGACGCUCAGGCUCGAAAGCGUGGGUAGCAAACAGGAUUAGAUA
rnacentral:rRNA from 1 species